CCACCUGUACUAGUGGGUACAGGGUGGUUGGUUGGUCUGGUACAGGGGGGUUGUAGUACUGAAAAAAUACUUUUAUUUCUAUCUACUGUAACAAUGGCCAAUAUUGUUUGUUGGUACGUGGAUUGGCUUGUUUGGGGCUUGUUUUGAAGGCAGUACAGCUUUAUUAUCUUGUGAGACUUGGCAACCACUCAUUGGAAUGAGAGGAAGGUGCACUGGAGUGAAAGGAAUAAACAGAUCAGAAGAAGAAAAGCAACUAAAAGAGCUAAAAAUCAGAGAAGGCAGAAGUAGCAGCAACACCAGGUUUUGACAGAUCAAAAGACCCUUUCAGAGAGAGUCAAGAUAUCAGAAGAAGUUUAACCUCAUUUUUUUCCUGUAAGCUGUUCACCAUCACAAUGAGACUGGUAAUUCUUGAUGACUAUGAUUUGGCAAGUGAAUGGGCAGCCAAGUACAUUUGUAAUCGUAUUAUCCAAUUCAAACCAAGUCAGGGAAGAUAUUUUACGCUUGGCUUACCAACAGGGAGCACACCUCUGGGAUGCUACAAAAAACUGAUAGAAUAUCACAAGAAUGGAGAUCUUUCUUUUAAAUAUGUAAAGACUUUCAACAUGGAUGAAUAUGUAGGGCUUCCAAGAAAUCAUCCAGAGAGUUACCAUUCUUAUAUGUGGAAUAAUUUCUUUAAGCAUAUUGACAUAGAUCCUAAUAAUGCUCACAUCCUUGAUGGGAAUGCUCUAGACCUACAGGCAGAGUGUGAUGCAUUUGAAAAAAAUAUUGAAGAAGCUGGGGGAAUUGAUCUGUUUGUUGGAGGCAUUGGUCCAGAUGGCCACAUUGCUUUCAAUGAACCAGGAUCGAGUUUGGCUUCAAGAACAAGGUUAAAGACUUUAGCAAUGGAUACCAUUUUGGCAAAUGCUAAAUACUUUGAUGGAGACUUAUCUAAAGUGCCAACUAUGGCACUAACUGUUGGUGUCGGUACAGUGAUGGAUGCUAGAGAAGUUAUGAUUCUCAUAACAGGUGCCCAUAAAGCUUUUGCUUUGUACAAGGCAAUUGAAGAAGGGGUCAAUCAUAUGUGGACAGUUUCUGCUUUCCAGCAGCACCCUCGCACUAUCUUUGUAUGUGAUGAAGAUGCUACUUUAGAACUAAGAGUUAAAACUGUGAAAUACUUCAAAGGUUUAAUGCAUGUUCACAAUAAACUUGUGGACCCGCUGUACAGUAUGAAAGAAGAAAACUGAAGGAGGAAUUGAAGAACUCCAUGUGGGUAAACAGCAACAUUUUUAGCAACUGCAGAUUAAAGUUCAGACAUCCUGGAAGAAAAAGAAAAAAAAAGAAGAGGAGAAUUAAGGACACUACUAAAGAUAGUAGUUGGAAGAACAAGUGGAAAGUUUUAUAAAGACUCCAUCAGAAAUGACAGCAGCAAAUAGAAAGCUCAAGACCCAACAAACGGUCAAAUGUGAGAGAGACUAUCUUAAAAACAGAACAGAGACUCAACAUGAGGAACACAACCAAAACAUCAUGUACUGCAGGAAGUUGCACCAAGAUGCCUGACUUUACAAUUUAUACAUUCCUCUGCAACUUCAAAAUGCUGCAUCUAAUGUCUCAUUACAGAAUUAAACUGAGAUAAUAUUAAAUGUACAUGACAUUGACGUAAUCUGGAGCAUGAAACAACUGAAAACUUUCAAUUGUGUACCUUUCAUCAUUCUUGAAGGUGGUUGAAUGAUGAAAUCCUCAUUGCUCUUUCACCAAUAUAUGCUGAAAAUAUAAAGAAGAAACCUUUUUAUUCACUGAUUGGGAUGCUCCAGUUAAUCUACUUACUUAUGUACAACAGUUCCCAAUUCUUCAACAGAGUUCCCAUUUAAAAGAAUAUCCAUUUUGACAAGGUCUGCUGCCUGGUAUCCUGCAUCUUCAUAAUCAAAACUAAAGGGGAAAAAAAAAAAGUCAACUUCAACCUUGUAAUUGAUACUAUAUUCUCUACUCCAGGAAUCUUUUAGGCCUUUAGCAUUUGUUUUGUAUACACAUUUUAAUAAGACACUUGUAUUUUCAUUACAGGAGGGUACUGCCAUUUUUAACUGUAUUUUAGUAAAUCCGUUCUCUCUCCAAAACUGAAUUAUAAGUACACUGACAGCAAAAAAUUGCUCUAAAGCACAGGCAGGCAGGCAGGCAGCACCCUUUCUUUUAGCUACUCAGCAGCGGUUUGUCAGGACCCACCAUCCCCACUGGAUUCUCUAGAAGCCACUCAGGGAUACCAGAUUCUUUCCCACCAAGCCAACAUGACAGCAGCAGUGUGAGGAGCUUCUUUGGACCAACCUUAAAGCCUCAGCUCUUGAAGCUUCCCCUCCAAGUCGCUGCAGCAGAGUCUUUAUACAUUCUGAUGUCAUGAGAAUCCUAAACCUCAAAACAAACUCUGAACUGGUUUUUAUAUGCACUCCAUUUGACUGAUCGGUUGCUCUCCUCCUAUUCCUGUCCGGUUCCAAUGCUCAAUUUGCUGCCAGACCUCCCCCUCUCUCUCCCUCCCCCCCCGCCCCAGCCAUCACGCUUCUCCCCAUCUCUCGCCUUCAUUUCCACCCCCACCACACCCCUUUUUAAUCACCUCCCUCCAUCCUCCUCUGGCUCUCCUUCCCCUUCAUUUUUCUUUCUAUCCACCCUCUCCCAUUCCGUUUUCUUUCUUCCUACCAGUUCAGCCACACAACACACACAGAAAAAAACCCCCAACACCCAAUCAUAAUCCUAUAUUCAUAAAACAUAUUUAAGGACAAAAACAAAAACCUCACCACAACAUUCAGAACCACCAAUCUUGCAAUCCUGUCACUGUAAAUCAAAGAGUUCUCUCUUGCUACCCAUUGAAUUAUAUGAACUUUGAUUAAACUGCAAUCUUUUUAGGCAGGGAACUGUUAUUCUUAUGCCAGUAAAGUGUCUAACACAACUGUGGAUAUUAAAAAGUAAAUCAUGAGACCAGUAUCAAAGCAUAAUGCAUCUUACUACCAAAUCUCCUGAGAUCAGAUUUCAAUAAUAAGAGGCACGCAGCGUUUGUUGGCUUAAAUCCCAUCUAUCUAGCAACAUAUUCCUUUCAGCUAAACUCCCAAAGGCUGCUGGUAAGUAUCUGCAUAUUUUUAUAGCUACCAGAUGUAAAGAUUAUUUUACCUGAAGGAACAAAAUUUCAUCUCAAUAUGCAGAAAAUUAUUUGCUUAAUUCCCAGAACAAAGUUGAGAAUAUACCCCUUCAUCUGGGUUUCAGACUUGUAUUAAUGAAUUAACAUUUUGAAAGGUUUCCUUCUCACAUUGGAAAGAAGAACUAAUGAAUAAAAGUACAUUAUCAAGGGUCCCUUUGACAAGUAGAUAAUGCUAGUUCUCACAUUACAGUACACUGGACACUUGCACAAUGUACAGCUGGCAAGGGGAUAGUUAUAUAUCACAGUAAAUUUUGUUAACUGAUUUCUAAGCUGACUGCCACUGAUUUUUAUAACAUAACCUGAUUUAUUAGGCUGGGAUUUUCAAAUCCCUGCCUGCAGGUCUAACUUAAUGAAGAACUGAUAACAGGAAAUUCCAUUCCCAAUAAUGAUCACAGUACCCAAAAUGGGUGGAAACUACUGCACUUCCACCUUAUACAAGGUUUCUCUCUACAAUGUGUGUGUCAUUUAGCCAUUGCUAUUUCAGAACUGGUAUACAAGAAAAGUGAAUGUCAGGAGUCUAUAAGUCAGGUUUCUUCUGUUCUAUUUCCAUUUCUGUCAGUGAUGUACAGUAUGGCCGUGCCUCUAUGCCUCAGUUUGCUCAUCUGCAAAAUGGGUUUAAUAUCUUCCUAUUCCACAGGAAUGUUCUACAGCUUCUAUGAAAGAAGCUGUUUUAGUAGAAUUUUAUUAACAUUAGAUUUUAAUAAUUUUAUUUCUAACAUUGUUAUACAUUGCCCUCACUAAGUAUGCAAAAUAUUCAUAGCGCACACACACACACACAUAAAAUAUUAUAAACAGACAGACAAUUCAAGAUCUCCUACAUUUCACAAAAUCUUAUUUUUGGUGAAACAUUCAACAUCUACUGGUAACCUUCUUCCCACCCCCAAUUUUUUUUUUAAGCUUUCUGGUAGCAGUCUGAGCAAAGAUGCAUUUGUUUUAAUCAAACAUGACCAUAACAGUCAGUUUAUCCAAUCCUUCAGUGUUGUAUCCCUUGUCCUUGCCAUAUCCCCAUCCCCACCAUCUGUCAUCCAUUUCUCUGUUAUGUUUAAUCUACAUUGUAAACUCCUUGAGGAAAUGCUAUUACACAUGGAUAUGCUUCCCUGAAUACAGCGUUUAAAGAUAAUGAGCUGAGCACUUACUUCCCAUUUGUGCCUUUGAAUAUCUCACCCAAAAUUCUUAAACUGUAUUUUGAAAAAGAAAAAAAAAUUACCUAGCAUAUCCAGAAGAGAGUGAUUUCAGAGCAUCAUAAAAAUCCACCACAAUUUCAUUCAGUGGGAAGAUAUAUUUCAGCAUAACCCUGUGCUCAUCAAUGUACAUCAUGUCCCUCUGAACAGCCCUGCGAGUCUAAUAAAUAUGACACUUUUUAGAAAAAUUUCGCAACACAAAUACAGAACAAACAGGCAAAUAUGGGGCUACUAGUACACAGAGAGGUUUUGGCAACAAGCCAUCAGACAGUUUGAGUAUUUUUUUUUUAAUUAGUUUUGUUUAGAUUCCCAGAAUUCAUUGAGAAUUACAGCAUCAUAAUUCAAGAAGUGGCCAUUUGUGGACUAAUGGUCUAGAGAUCCAUCCCAUGCAUAUAUUUCCUGAUGCCUCUUGCCUCAUCACUGAAAAUCUUAAGAGCUUCUGCUCCUGCUCCCUAAUUUCCUAAUCUUGCAAACAGUUCUUCGUGAGUGGGCUUUACACCUACAGGCAGCCCCAAUAAAGUCAAGGUUGUUAGACACAGGAGAGCUACCCAGGCAGGGGGGCUUGUAGGAUCAGGGCCCAACUCCUUUCAAUAGUCUUAUUUUUAUGUAUUUAUUUUACUAUACAAUGUCUUCAUCCCAUAUAUACUUUGGGCACUAAUGUAACAGACAUAGUAGUAUACUAUCCUGAAUUAUGUAUACUGUAAUUUUGUAUACUACAGAGCAUUUUGUGACAAAGUUUGUAUAUACAAAACCAUAUAAAAUACUGCAUUUAGGAACAGUGUUUUCUUUAUUUUUAAUGUACCCAUAUUUUUUAAAAAAAGCAAGUAAAAUAUUGCAAAUGCACGGAGGUGUUUGGGUAAAGAAUUAAGCUUUUAAUAUGUGUACUGCAGAUGAAAUCAAGGAAAACAAUCUAUUUUCUAGCAGAAUGGGAUUAUUUCAAUCAAUGACUACACUUUCCAUCAUUCUGCUUUGUUCCACAUCUGUACAUGGCACAGUGAGGUAAAGCAUACUAUAUCUACAACACUUGUCAGAGAGACAAGAAACUGCAAAACUCCUCAAGUUAAGCAAGGAAAACUGCUGUUAUUCAGGUCCGUGGAUAGAAAUUAUGUUUCAUUAAAUUACUCCUACAUACGCUGUACCUAAUACCACCAGCAUCUCCCAUUGGUGAUUCCCCUCCUUAAUAGUGAAACAAACUACCAGAAUCUUUUAAGAGCUGCAGCAAUUGUUCAAAAAGACUCUCUGGGGUUGAGCUUGAGCAGCCAUCUUUCACUGGAUGAUCUUGUAUGCAGUGUUGUAGCCGUGUUCAUCACAGGACAUUAGAGAUGCAAAGUGGGUGAGGUAGUAUCUUUUAUUGGACCAACUUCUGAUGGUGAGAGAGAGAAAGUUUCGAGCUACGCAGAGCUCUUCUUCAGAAGUUAGUCAAAUAAAAGAUGACCUUAUAAUUCAGAAAAGUGAUGUCUCUCAUACCUGACCGUUUUAAAUCUUGAUUUUAUUGAGAGAGUAUUAUUACUAAACAUUCCUAUGGUGCCCAUUGCUGUGGUAUCUAGAUACCACAUGUGGUUUAACAGUGCAAUCAUAAAACUAAAAUUCUAUACAAACCUGACAC